rnacentral:rRNA from 1 species
UACGUAGGGCGCAAGCGUUGUCCGGAAUUAUUGGGCGUAAAGAGCUCGUAGGUGGCUUGUCACGUCGGGUGUGAAAGCUUGGGGCUUAACUCCAGGUCUGCAUUCGAUACGGGCAGGCUAGAGUUCGGUAGGGGAGACUGGAAUUCCUGGUGUAGCGGUGAAAUGUGUAGAGAUCGGGAGGAACACCGGUGGCGAAGGCGGGUCUCUGGGCAAUUCCUGACGCUGAGGCGCGAAAGCGUGGGGGAGCAAACGGG